rnacentral:rRNA from 1 species
AAUGAACGCUGGCGGCAGGCCUAACACAUGCAAGUCGAACGGAUCCUUCGGGAUUAGUGGCGGACGGGUGAGUAACGCGUGGGAACAUACCCUUUGGUACGGAAUAGCCUCGGGAAACUGGGGGUAAUACCGUAUGUGGUCGAGAGACGAAAGAUUUAUCGCCAAAGGAUUGGCCCGCGUUGGAUUAGGUAGUUGGUGGGGUAAUGGCCUACCAAGCCGACGAACCAUAGCUGGUUUGAGAGGAUGAGCAGCCACACUGGGACUGAGACACGGCCCAGACUCCUACGGGAGGCAGCAGUGGGGAAUCUUAGACAAUGGGGGAAACCCUGAUCUAGCCAUGCCGCGUGAUCGAUGAAGGCCUUAGGGUUGUAAAGAUCUUUCAGGUGGGAAGAUAAUGACUGUACCACCAGAAGAAGCCCCGGCUAACUCCGUGCCAGCCGCCGCAGUAA